rnacentral:pre_miRNA from 1 species
AAUAACUAUAGCAAUAGUUUUCCACGUCCAACUUUAAUCAUUCGUCUUAUUUAAAAAAAAAUUAGUCACGAGUAAAGUACUAUUCAUGUUUUAUCAUCUUAUAACAACAAAAAUACUAAUUACAAAAAAAUUUUAAAUAAGACGAACGAUUAAAAUUGGACGCAGAAACUCAUGGCUGCACUUAAU